CUCUUCUCCAGUGCUGGACUGUCCCAGCCUCUCCAGGAGCUGGAGGAUAAUCACUCAUGAUCUCAAAUUGCUUCUGCUAAGGCUUGGCAGACCUCAGAGCAAGUUUCAUUAGGUCAUUAGGUGCUUGUGAACAAGCUGAGCCACAUAUGUCUGAGGAUGGCUCCUAUGUUUCUUCCAACGAGAACAGGUACAUUAUCCCUACGCGCUGGUAUGAUGCUUGAGGAGUUUUGUUCCAUGUGGUGGAUACAGCAGUAACUAAGUAGAUUGAACACCUGUGAAUGUUAACUCGGGAGGCAGCCUCAUAUAAAUUAUUAAUAAUCUCUGUAAAAUGCAUGGUCAGCCCUGACACCUUUGCAGAGACAUCCUAGUAGAAAUAUGGAUUUGGUAUUAGUCUAAAGAAAACUGAAAUAAAUGCAGAACAACUAAAUCACUCCAGAAGGAGCUAUACCUCAUUUUAGAAAACAUUUUCCGAAAUGCAGAAAUAAUUUUCUCAGUGCUGAAAAAGAUAGCAGCUAGCAGGUAACUGCUCUUACACCGACUGUGGAGCUGGCACGCUGUUGCACAAGAUCAGCAUACGUCAUUUGUGAGAUUAAUAGUUUCUAUGUAAAACCUGAUCAAUUAGGAUAAAUUGUUACAUUAUGGAGCUAGAG